UUUAAACUUGUAAGUUUUUUCCCAUGAGAGACAAAACCAGUAGACACUAUCAUCUCUAUCAUCUCCAUACCUAAAACCCUAAACCCCAAUCAAGAACAUCCCAAUUGCCGCACAUCUUUGAAAAAACAAAAAUGGAGAACACCUGCAUAAUAUCUCCAAACCCAUUAUUAAAGAUUGCAGAAAUACAAGGUAGAGGAAGAGCACUUGUUUCAACUCAACCCUUAAAACCAGGACAAAUAAUCCUCAAAGAUACACCUCUACUUCUUUACCCUGCCACCCCUUUAACAAAAAACAAUGCUUUUUGCUCAAAUUGCUAUAAAUUAAUCCUCCAAUCUCCAAUCCCAUGCCCAAGAUGCAACUUUUCGCUCUUUUGUACCUCUAAUUGUCAAUCUUUAGCUUUAUCUUCUUCACAUACUCCUUGGGUUUGCCAAUCUUUAACUCGUUUUCGCGAUAACUUAUACAACAACAUCAACAUAUCCAGUGUAAUUCCACAAGUAGGGUCUGGGGAGGUUAGAAUGUACACAGACCUUACCCCUACUUUGUCUUUAGACCAACAAAUUCAAGUUUUUUUCCUUAUCUCAGCUUAUAACUUGUCAGUCAUUAAUCCUUCUUCUUUUCGUGUUUUGUUAUCCCUUCAAGGCGAUCCAUCGUUUGUGUCGGAAAAUGAUGUUGUUUUGCUUCACUCUGUUGUUAGUACGAUUUGCCCGUCUACGAAUCUUGGUGAAUUUGGGUUUUCUAAAGAGCUUACUGCAGCUCUUUUGGCUAAGGAUAAAGUAAAUGCAUUUGGGUUGAUGGAACCUUAUGAUAAGGAUAGAGAAAGGGGUGUUAGAGCUUAUGGGAUUUAUCCUGUGGCGUCGUUUUUCAAUCACGAUUGUCUACCAAAUGCGUGUAGGUUUGAGUAUGUUGAUAUUGAUGUUAGUAAUGGGAGUAAUAAUACUGAUAUGAUUGUUAGGGUGAUUCAUGAUGUUCCUGAGGGAAGAGAGAUUUGUUUGAGUUAUUUUCCUGUUAAUUUUAAGUAUUCGGAGAGGCAGCAAAGGUUGAAGGAGGAUUAUGGUUUUACUUGCAAUUGUGAUCGGUGUGUUGUCGAGGCUAAUUGGUCUGAUCAAGAGGAUGAUGAUGCCAUGGAUAAUGAGGGCGAAGAAAUUGAAGAGGAUGAGGAUGAAGCGAUGGAGGAAGAUGUGGAUGUGGAUGAUGAAGUGAUUGGAAAUGGAGAGGUGGAGGAGAGGGAUCAAGAUUUCCCUCACGCGUAUUUCUUCAUUAGAUACAUGUGUAAUCAAGAGAAUUGCGGGGGUACAUUGGCUCCAUUGCCUCCUUCUGAUGCAUCUACAUCCACGGUUAUGGAAUGCAAUGUUUGUGGUCAUCUGAGCAAAUCUGAUGAGCUUUAAGGUUCGCGCUCGGGACCAUUGAAGACAUAUGUGUUGCAGUUAACGACUCUAAGGCUUCUGUUUUUGUGAAUGGGAAGUUUUGCAAAGACCCAAAGCUUGCAAAAGCGGAUGAUUUCUUUGCUUCAGGUCUUAACGUUAGUGGAAAUUCAGUGCCUCAGUUAGG